ensembl:lncRNA
GUUCAACUAUUCUCAAGUUGAAGGGAACGAGGGAGAAAGUGGAGAGAGAGCGAGAAAGUGGGCCUAUACCGUUAGUCUCCCUGUGUCUGGGCUGGGGUAGUGGGGAGGGUUAUGCAAAUGGCUUCUGCCUGUCAGCCAGCCCCCUCAGAGACGGUAGUGGAGCACACUGCUCCACACACACCCACACGCCGACACACACAGCACACAGAAGACCGAGGGAGCUUAGUCAGCACGUUCCCCUCUCUCUCUCUCUCACACACACACACACACACACACAUGCAUAUGCCUAUGGAGCUCUGGCAUUCCUAGAGACUCUUUCUAUCUCUCUAUCCCUCUCACUCUCUGUUUCUCCCCCUUUUCUUUACCUUUAGCUGUGUUUUCUCCCUCCCUCUCUCACUCCCCCCACCCCGCUGUCCUUCCCUGGUUCCCAGUUUGCUCUGCCUGUGGCUGCCACUUGUCUGAGGGACUUUGGAGAGGACAGAAGCGAGGAGGUGCGGGACAGGUCAGGAUGCUCUGGACUCUGCAGAUGUUUGGACGACAGGUUUCCCUCAGAAGGGACUGAAGACAAGACCAAACCACAGGAGGCACCGAGGAUCUUUAACACGCAGAUCAUCCUGUUUUCAAUCAUCUUUAGUUCUCAAUCGGACUUCAUUUUUGCCUGUGCUUUCUCUGCGGGUGCUAUUUCUGCAGCCUCUUGGUGGGGAAAAUGAGGUUGUCUCAAGCUGCUUUGCAGCCCUUCAUUCUGGGGGUUCUGCUAUCACUUGUGGACACCAAAGGAACCUUCUAUGGGACAGGCCUUGGUAACCCGUUCUAUGGAGGCCAUGGCAACAGAUACAACCUGUACAAGUCUGGACACUCCACCCUGGGGAAGCAUAUGACCCGCCACAAACACCUGCCAGGAUUAAAUAUCCCACAGAACCAAAAUGACAUUGACAGAGCCAUGAAAUGGCUGGAGAGAAGGGAUGGGAGAAGAGGAGUGGGAAGAGGAGAUGAAAACAACAUGAGUUGGAGAAGAAAGGAAAGGACGAGUGAAGAGGGGAAGUAAUUACUGUGGAUGACAAAGUUCGGAGGAAAAGGGAACGAGAGCGUGAAUAUAGGAGGAGGGCAGAAGACACUUCCUAGGGGCUGUAUACAUUUGGGUUCCCGAUUUCUAGGCCGUGGUGCUGAAUUUCUCAAGGCCAUUGGCUCUGCCCAGAUGUGCACCUGACAAACAACUCUGGGAGCACAGACUGUAUUCUCUCCUCUGUCUGACACUGCGGGUAACAUGAGAUGAGCCUCUCAUUUACACACUGACGCAAGCAGAUGCUCACACACUUACACACACACACUCAUUCGCAUAUCAUUUUACAACCACCUUAACUUAUUUUCCUAAAACCAGGCCUUCUCCUUGACCUCUCAUGAAUUAGCCAGACAACAGGUAGUAAAGCUGUUUUAUAUGUCAGUAAGUUCAAUAUGUAUGUGGAGGGAACUGCCUCAAUAUGUAUCUCUUUAGUUUUUGACAAUGUGAUUUUGAAACCAUUUGCAACAUUAUGGCUUUUAGAGCCAAGGAGAACGUCCGUAUGUGUUUGUGGGUGUGGGGAAGGUGAGUGUGUGUGUUCCAUGCACAUGGCACUGUAUGAACCAUUCUGUCUUAAUCAAGACUUGCUCCACCUGUCAGCUGGCUUUUGAGUGGUGCUGUGGUUAAGACAACAGAAGAAGGUUGAAAAUGUUGAGGUAGAAGGUUGGAGAAGUUGUAGAUGUUGGACUCUGAAG